AACGAACGCUGGCGGCGUGGAUAAGACAUGCAAGUCGAACGGAAUAAUUUGGUAGUAAUAUUAGAUUAUUUAGUGGCGAACGGGUGCGUAACACGUGGGUACAUGCCGGGAAGCGAGGGAUAGCCCAGGGAAACUUGGAUUAAUACCUCAUGUGGUCGCAAGACUAAAGGCGCAAGUCGCUUCCUGAUUGGCCCGCGGCCUAUCAGCUAGUUGGAGAGGUAAAAGCUCCCCAAGGCUACGACGGGUAGCUGGUCUGAGAGGAUGACCAGCCACACUGGAACUGAGACACGGUCCAGACACCUACGGGUGGCAGCAGUCGAGAAUCUUUCACAAUGGGGGCAACCCUGAUGGAGCGACGCCGCGUGGAGGAUAAGGUCUUCGGAUUGUAAACUCCUGUCAUGUGAGAGCAAAGCCUGCAAAGGUCUGAUAGUAUCACAAGAGGAAGAGACGGCUAACUCUGUGCCAGCAGCCGCGGUAAAAC
rnacentral:rRNA from 1 species